UACGGAGGGUGCAAGCGUUAUCCGGAUUUACUGGGUUUAAAGGGUGUGUAGGCGGAUUAUUAAGUCAGCGGUGAAAUCUCCGGGCUCAACCCGGAAACUGCCAUUGAUACUAUUAGUCUUGAAUAUUGUUGAGGUGGGCGGAACGGGUCAUGUAGCGGUGAAAUGCAUAGAUAUGACCCGGAACACCGAUUGCGAAGGCAGCCCACUAAGCAAUGAUUGACACUGAGGCACGAAAGCGUGGGGAUCAAACAGG
rnacentral:rRNA from 1 species